rnacentral:rRNA from 1 species
AACGAACGCUGGCGGCAGGUCUUAGGCAUGCAAGUCGAGCGGUAACAGAGAGAAGCUUGCUUCUCUGCUGACGAGCGGCGGACGGGUGAGUAAUGCCUAGGAAUCUGCCUAGUAGUGGGGGAUAACUUGCCGAAAGGUAAGCUAAUACCGCAUACGUCCUACGGGAGAAAGGAGGGGACCUUCGGGCCUUUCGCUAUUAGAUGAGCCUAGGUCGGAUUAGUUAGUUGGUGAGGUAAUGGCUCACCAAGACCGCGAUCCGUAACUGGUCUGAGAGGAUGAUCAGGCACACUGGAACGGAGGCACGGUCCAGACUCCUACGGGAGGCAGCAGUGGGGAAUAUUGGACAAUGGGGGGAACCCUGAUCCAGCCAUGCCGCGUGUGUGAAGAAGGUCUUAGGAUUGUAAAGCACUUUAAGUUGGGAGGAAGAGCAGUUAACUAAUAUUUGACUGUUUUGACGUUACCGACAGAAUAAGCACCGGCUAACUUCGUGCCAGCCGCCGCCGUAA